UACGUAGGGGGCUAGCGUUGUCCGGAAUCAUUGGGCGUAAAGAGCGUGUAGGCGGCCCGGUAAGUCCGCUGUAAAAGUCAAAGGCUCAACCUUUGAAUGUCAGUGGAUACUGCCGGGCUAGAGUCCGGAAGAGGCGAGUGGAACUCCUGGUGUAGCGGUGGAAUGCGCAGAUAUCAGGAAGAACACCAAUUGCGAAGGCAGCUCGCUACACAUAUAUUGACUCUGAGGCACGAAAGCGUGGGGAUCAAACAGG
rnacentral:rRNA from 1 species